CAAAAAUGUCUCGUUUCAUAUCCACCUAUUCCUCACACUACCUUUCUCCGCCUUGCGAUGAACAGGAAACGCCCGAGGUCAACUUCCCAGGAGACAACUGCAAAAAAUGCUCCCGGCCUUGUCAAUGUCCACUUCGCUACAACACACCAGCCACAAGUAGUCAACCCGCUUCAAGAAGAUCCUCCUGUUCAAGCACUUCAUCCCGAGUCCGAUCCAUUCAACAGAUCGAUUUCAAUGCCGUUCCGCAAGUGAGAAACUGUCGGUGCACCUGCCAGUGCUGUGUUUCCAAGAAACCUGAAUUACCCGAACCGUCCAAAUGCCGUCCAGCAGCAGUGGCAGUUUGUCUGGAUCCUUGCUGUAGAUUGCACAAAGUCCGCAUCGCCCAAACAAUCGCCCAGGAUCCAAACUGCUACGAACCAAAGUGCCACUGCAAAUCCCAAAUUUGCCCUCCACCACCGCCUCUGGAUUGUGAUUGCUGCAAGGCCCGAAAUGACGAUCCCCUGAUUCGCCACGCCAAAUCUUCCAGCGAAUCGCAGGGUUCAAUGGGGUGCUCUCGAUCUCGCUGCAACGGAAGCGAUCUACAAUCGUGUCCUCGAAGUACAAGUAGGCUGCGAUUUGAUAUGACAGCACAUAGCAAAAAGGAUUCCCCGUAGAGAAGGUUUGACUUGAUCGGAAAAGCAAGAAAAUGUACACAAAAAAACUGAACAAAAAUGACCUGUGCAAUUCAACGUACAUGAGAUCUUUCACUGGGUACAACCCGUGCUACAAGGGACCAGUAAGCGUCACGAAACCACAAGUCUCCGAACACCGCCGCCGUUAUCAUCAACAAAUGGAAACGACAAUGUCCACGACUCACGCCGUUUUCGUCAACAGAACGUGUCCUCGAUCACCACCGGGCGAAUGUCCCAACACAUCUUACGGAGAGACUAUCUGCAAGCUGGGUCAGGCCAUCACCGACAGCUGCGAAGUGAUGCCGUGUUGUGAUCCCUGCUACUAUUGCUGCUAAAUUACGGUGAAAUAUACAAAAUUUCCGUGAAAACAAUCAA